GCAGACUCCUCCCCUCACAUCACACAUUGUCCCAUGGCCUGGCUGCUCAUUGUGCAGUCCAGAAACACCAUUUGGUUCAAGUUGAAUGGAAAAGGAAAUGAAUACACAUCUGUGCUGUUCCCCUUGGGCCACUGUUGAAAAAGUUUCAGCAGCUGGGACUGAUCCAGAGACACCAAUGAAAUCAUCCACUGGAAGGAACUUUGGGGGAUUAGUAAGACUUUUUCCCAUCUGUGAUGUCAAUACACAAAAAUCUGUCAGCUUGA